rnacentral:tRNA from 1 species
GGGGAUGUAGCUCAGCGGCAGAGUGCUUGCCUAGCAUGCAUGAGGCACUGGGUUUGAUCCUCAGCACCACA